rnacentral:rRNA from 1 species
UUAGAGUUUGAUCCUGGCUCAGGAUGACCCCUUGCGGCAGGCUUAACACAUGCAAGUCGAGGGGCAGCAUGUCCAGCAAUGGAUGAUGGCGACCGGCGGAAGGGUGCGUAACGCGUGAGCAACAUGCCCUAUACAGGGAGAUACACCAGGGAAACUUGGUCUAAUAUCCCAUAUCAUUCAUUGAAGGCAUCUUUAAUGAAUUAAAGCUUCGGUGGUAUAGGAUUGGCUCGCGUGACAUUAGCCAGAUGGUGAGGUAACGGCUCACCAUAGCAAUGAUGUCUAGGGGUUUUGAGAGGAAGGCCCCCACACUGGGACUGAGACACGGCCCAGACUCCUACGGGAGGCAGCAGUGAGGAAUAUUGGACAAUGGAUGGAAAUCUGAUCCAGCCAUGCCGCGUGCAGGAAGACGGCCUUAUGGGUUGUAAACUGCUUUUAUACGGGAGCAAUGAGGGUUACGAGUAAUCCGAUGAGAGUACUGUAUGAAUAAGGAUCGGCUAACUCCGUGCCAGCAGCCGCGGUAAUACGGAGGAUCCGAGCGUUAUCCGGAAUUAUUGGGCGUAAAGGGUACGUAGGCGGUUUUUUAAGUCUGGUGUGAAAUUGGUGGGCUCAACCCACCCAAGCAUUGGAAACUGGAAAACUUGAGUCAUGGAGAGGAAAGUGGAAUUCCUAGUGUAGCGGUGAAAUGCGUAGAUAUUAGGAGGAAUACCGGUGGCGAAGGCGACUUUCUGGACAUGUACUGACGCUGAGGUACGAAAGCGUGGGGAGCAAACAGGAUUAGAUACCCUGGUAGUCCACGCCGUA